rnacentral:pre_miRNA from 1 species
UGACGGAGGGCGAGGAAAUGGCAAGAUGUUGGCAUAGCUGUUUGGAGUUCUGGGUCGGCUGUGCUGACAAACUGCCAUUUCCCGUUCACUCCUAUUACAAC